rnacentral:siRNA from 1 species
UUUGAGACAUAGGCUAAGCA